rnacentral:rRNA from 1 species
GACGAACGCUGGCGGCGUGCCUAACACAUGCAAGUCGAGCGAGGAGAGUUCCUUCGGGAACAAACCUAGCGGCGGACGGGUGAGUAACACGUGGGCAACCUGCCUUGUAGAGGGGAAUAGCCUUCCGAAAGGAAGAUUAAUACCGCAUAACAUUACAGUUUCGCAUGAAACAGUAAUUAAAGGAGUAAUCCGCUACAAGAUGGGCCCGCGGCGCAUUAGCUAGUUGGUGAGGUAACGGCUCACCAAGGCGACGAUGCGUAGCCGACCUGAGAGGGUGAUCGGCCACAUUGGGACUGAGACACGGCCCAGACUCCUAUGGGAGGCAGCAGUGGGGAAUAUUGCACAAUGGGGGAAACCCUGAUGCAGCAACGCCGCGUGAGUGAUGAAGGUUUUCGGAUCGUAAAGCUCUGUCUUCGGGGACGAUAAUGACGGUACCCGAGGAGGAAGCCACGGCUAACUACGUG